rnacentral:rRNA from 1 species
GAUGAACGCUGGCGGCGUGCCUAAUACAUGCAAGUCGAGCGAACAGACGAGGAGCUUGCUCCUCUGACGUUAGCGGCGGACGGGUGAGUAACACGUGGAUAACCUACCUAUAAGACUGGGAUAACUUCGGGAAACCGGGGCUAAUACCGGAUAAUAUAUUGAACCGCAUGGUUCAAUAGUGAAAUACGGUUUUGCUGUCACUUAUAGAUGGAUCCGCGCCGCAUUAGCUAGUUGGUAAGGUAACGGCUUACCAAGGCGACGAUGCGUAGCCGACCUGAGAGGGUGAUCGGCCACACUGGAACAGAGACACGGUCGAGACUCCUACGGGAGGCAGCAGUAGGGAAUCUUACGCAAUGGGCGAAAGCCUGACGGAGCAACGCGGCGUGAGUGAUGAAGGUCUUCGGAUCGUAAAACUCUGUUAUUAGGGAAGAACAAAUGUGUAAGUAACUAUGCACGUCUUGACGGUACCUAAUCAGAAAGCCACGGCUAACUACGUG